AGUACGCAUUUUAGUGUAUCUUUUCAAGCACUUUAUAUGUCCUUAUGUUCUGAUAUGGGAGAUGUCCGGUGUGGACACCUACAGGUAUCCCAGACUUUAUACAUGCUGUUUCUAAUGGUGAAUUGAUGACAGGAUAUAUCACCCGUCUUGAUAAAGGCCUGUGACCAGACCGAAACGUCGACAAUAAAAGCAUUGGUGAUUUUAUGAAGAAA